GCACCAAGGGGAGUCCCGGCAAGGGGCUGAGAUACUGCUGGCAUCAUAAGCGCGGUGACCCUUCGAACCUGAUCCGGAUCAUGCCGGCGAAGGGAUGGGAA
rnacentral:ncRNA from 1 species